CCAGACAUGGCUUUGGGCUGGUUUCCCAGGACUCCUUGAUCCUGAAGUUCAUUUAUCUUCUGUGUGCAGAGAGGGAGAGGCAAAGGAGUGCUUUCCUGCGUCACAGGCCAGCCCACUGGUGGCCAAACAUUUGACUGGCAUGGAGGGGGCACAGGCCUGCCCUGGGCUUCCAGCUAACUGCCUGUUUUAUGUGGGUGAAAUCUGGUUCCCACCCCUUAACUCCCGUGCCUGGGCAAACUCGCACACAGGACUGCACCUGUCAGGCUGGCGUGAGGUGCUGUGUGGUUCUGCUGCUGCUGUGCCAAGGCUCCAGCACUUUCUGCAGUGAGGAUUUGAUCAGUGUGUAUCUGGGACUCCUGGGCAGUGAGGAUAGCCAGUGUGUGCCAAGUGCUAAUGAUACCCAGGCAACUCGAGAAGAAGACAGGUGGCUGCCUCUGGGACUGGAGACCAGGACAGUCACUUUUGUCCAAAUGAAACCAAAACCAACUAAGAGAGCACAUGCCCACUGGAGGGAAAUGUGACAUCAUAUCCAGUUCCCUAUUUUUGCCUCAUUUGCCCGGGAACCUAGGGUAAGUUCAUCAGGCCACAGCCCACCCCUUGCUCUAUCUGUUGCAUUUUCUUCUCUCCUCUUUGCCCUCCCUUCCCAGACAGCAGAGCCACCGGUGCCUGUCUUGUCAUCUCCAAGUAUGAUAGAGUCCAGUGGUCUCCCAUCGGGGCCCCACCACCAAGGCCAACAGAUGUGUGUGUGAAGUGUCUUUUGGGCUGGCAGGGACAGGAGACGAGUGGGACUCCCAUAGAGCUAGGAGCAAAUGAAAAGCAAGCAAAGGACAACAUGGCUCCUGUCCAGGGGACCACACCCCUGCGAUGUGCUUUCUAUGGCACAUGGAUCUAACUCUCUGGGCUUAGUAGCCUUUCUGUGAAAUGGGCACUCACAGAGGAGGCCAGGAGAGAGAUCGCUGGACGUGUGGCCACAGAGUAUAGUAAGUGGGAACAGAACUAGUGGCAUUGCCAGCAUGGAUCUGCUUAGCCAGAAGUGAUUCCUGAUCGACUCCUCCCUGGGUGCCCCAUCCUAGGCCAGGUGUUUCCGCAUGUACUGGAAGAAAAGAUAGACAUAAUUCUCCCUAGAUUUCCCUCAAAAAGAGGCUCAAAACAUGAGGACAGUGGCUGCUAGGCCAGUAUUCUCCUCUUGCCGUG
rnacentral:lncRNA from 1 species